GUGGAAUGCUUUAGACUUGAGGACACAGGGAGUGGGCACAGCCUUCCACUCCUAGCCCCAGUGUCCUGAUCUACAGAUGCGCACAGGAUCAGGGGCAGCAAUGGCCCUGCCACUCAUGAUUUUUAGCGGAAUCCGGAAAAGGCCAGGCAGAGUGAAGCUCAUGCUGACUACCAGCUGUCCCCCACCUGGGCCCUUGCUCACUGGAGCCUUCCCUCCCAGGGACAGAAGUCCAGAGGCAGCUGCCAUCACUCCUGUGGUUCACCAGUCAUGGCUGAACCAAGUCGAGCAGUGUUGAGGGACAUCUGCAGGUAGCAGGUACUGACCUUAGGGAACAAUUCUGGCUCCAUCUGUGGACAUGGUGCUGCUGGGUGAAACUGAGUGGAGAGUCCAGAAAGUGUGCAACUGACCUGGAGUCCCCAGGUCCCGUCCAGGAGGUGCUGACCUCUCCAUCACAGCCCUUGUGUUGGAUGGGGAUCACUGCUGGUGUGAUUGAGCACUGCCGUCAGUCUGGAUUUACUGAGGCCAUUACAACUCCAUGAGACCAGGACAAGCUACUCUGACAGAUGCUCAAAAAGCUGACCAUGGUGUUUGUAGAAUUACCUAGUGUCCUGCCAGUCUUGUGUCAGGCCAGUCUGUAGCACCAGUGACUUCUUUGGAUUUGAAUCCAGAGGUUGCUGUAAGGGAAGCUGCUGGUGCGGUUAACAGCUUUGAAUAAUGUGGGUGGAUCUCAUCCAAUCAAUUGAAGGCCUUAUAGAGCCAAACUCAGGUUUCCCGGAGAGGAAGGAAUUCUGUGCCCACUCCUAUCUGUCUUCAGCUUGCUGCCCACCUGUGCACUUGAGGUUUGGUAGCUCCAAGACUGCUUGGGUCACUUCUCUUCCUUCUUUACUUCCCAGUGGUUCUGUUCUCUGGACUCACUAUGUGGCCUUAAGGUCCUCUGGAUUAGGUGGAUGGGCUUGGGCAUGCUCUGUGACCUCUCUUACUCCAGUUCUUCAUCUCUUGGGACCACUGUAGCAAAUGACACAGCUUCUGUAAGUGCUUAGCACUGUGCCUGGCACCCUUGAGUUUUUGGGUAGUGCUGCAGUUCAAACCCAGGGAGCUACUCCUCAGCCCCUGCACUUAAAUUUACUUAAAAACGAAGAAAAAUAAAGAAGGAAAAAAGCUCACUAUAUCUGCCAAAUGAAAUCAAGUCAAGACUUGGAGACUGCAAACUGCGAUGCCAGUGCAGGGGAGCGGCCGUAGUACGCAGACUGAGGACAAGGCGACCGUCUCUGCUUCUCCAUCUUGGCUGCACAGGGGAAUGAUGGGGAUUUUAAGACUGGGGUUGCCACCCCAGGGACCCUGAGUUGGUUUACAUGUGCCUAGCACUGGCAUUUAAGCACCGCCAGGUCAUUCUACCCUUGCUCUGGGCCCUGAGGCCAGCUGUGCGGCACUCCAUCAGGGGACAUUCCUCAUACGGUGGCUUGUCAGCAGGAAGCCAGUGGAGAAGAGCUGAUGUGCAAAGCUGGAAACUGAGUGCAUGUUCCCUUUUGAUCCUGCGUUGGGUGUUUCUCUCAGUUCAGCCAAAGGUUCUCUUCCUGCAAGGAAUUUUCUUGAAAUGCCUGCUGCCCCUGUUUUUCCUCUUCCCACCAAACACAGGCCAGCUGCUGGGCACCUCUGACCUUGUCUUCCGUCCAUGUUCUGGGCUCCCUUUGUACCUCUUCUCCAGCUUUCUCUGACACGCCGCCUCUGUUGAGCACCCCUCUCCACCAACCUUCCACGCUGGUGCAGGAAUAGCUCCAAACCCAAGUUUCCUUGACUCCAGAACUCAGGCCUCUUCCCCCCUGGAUACCAGGAACCCCUGUCCAGCCCUGAGGCCUUCACACAGGGUCCCCACUCUGCUCUGAACCUGCCCCUCACCCUCCUCAGACUCUUAAAAUCCGAUGGUGCCUGCAGCGUGCUGCUCCCGCUGGGCAACUUGAAGGCCCUGGACUUCUCCUGGGGGAGAAAAAGCAGGUGCACCCACCCUCAGCACACUGGCAUAAAUCGACCCCUUGCUGAAUGUCUGCACAUAGUGCCAAGGUGCAGCUCCUGAUUGAUGGAGUGUUGAAUGCCAAGUGCACUUGGUAGGUCCCAUUUCUGAACUCCAUCUUCCUCUGCGUAUGGCCCUCUUAAGGCCCUUCUCAACUUUCAGAAGAGGCUGGUCAGGGCCAGUGGCUGGCCACCCUCUCGGGGGGCCAGCUGACAGGAGGUGGACUGAUGCACAAGAGCCAGGGGAGUCAUUCCUCCAGUCCCUGAGGGGUCUUGACGGGCACUUGGGGUGUUGUCCAGAGACACUCUCGGUACUGAUCAAACAGAAGCACCAACACAUCAAGCUCAGGCUGCAAGUGUUCCAGGAUGGAGUGAGAAAACGGUUUCAAAUCUGCCACCUGGAAUCCUGUGGCAAGGCUGCUGCUGCUUUACUCAGCACGGCAAGUCCCACCAUACUGGUACAAAAGCUUGGUAGAAGUUAAGCUAAGGCAGUGUUUAAAAACAGAUGAAUAAAACGUCCAGGAAACACAGAAGACCUUUGUUGUACUCUUCUCUGGGACCAAGGGCGUGAAAGUACUGCACCUGGCUUCUGUGAUUGUUAUUUUUUGGUGCUGGGGAUUGCAC
rnacentral:lncRNA from 1 species